AUUGAACGCUGGCGGAAUGCUUUACACAUGCAAGUCGAACGGCAGCACGGACUUCGGUCUGGUGGCGAGUGGCGAACGGGUGAGUAAUACAUCGGAACGUGCCCAGUCGUGGGGGAUAACUGCUCGAAAGAGCAGCUAAUACCGCAUACGAUCUGAGGAUGAAAGCGGGGGGCCUUCGGGCCUCGCGCGAUUGGAGCGGCCGAUGGCAGAUUAGGUAGUUGGUGGGGUAAAGGCUCACCAAGCCGACGAUCUGUAGCUGGUCUGAGAGGACGACCAGCCACACUGGGACUGAGACACGGCCCAGACUCCUACGGGAGGCAGCAGUGGGGAAUUUUGGACAAUGGGCGAAAGCCUGAUCCAGCCAUUCCGCGUGCAGGAUGAAGGCCCUCGGGUUGUAAACUGCUUUUGUACGGAACGAAAAGCCUUUGGUUAAUAUCUGGAGGUCAUGACGGUACCGUAAGAAUAAGCACCGGCUAACUACGUGCCAGCAGCCGC
rnacentral:rRNA from 1 species